rnacentral:rRNA from 1 species
GAUGAACGCUAGCUACAGGCUUAACACAUGCAAGUCGAGGGGAAACGAUAGGGAAAGCUUGCUUUUUCUAGGCGUCGACCGGCGCACGGGUGAGUAACGCGUAUCCAACCUGCCCAUCACUUGGGGAUAACCUUGCGAAAGUAAGACCAAUACCCAAUGACGUCUCUAGAAGACAUCUGAAGGAGAUUAAAGAUUUAUCGGUGAUGGAUGGGGAUGCGUCUGAUUAGCUUGUUGGCGGGGUAACGGCCCACCAAGGCGACGAUCAGUAGGGGUUCUGAGAGGAAGGUCCCCCACAUUGGAACUGAGACACGGUCCAAACUCCUACGGGAGGCAGCAGUGAGGAAUAUUGGUCAAUGGACGAGAGUCUGAACCAGCCAAGUAGCGUGCAGGAAGACGGCCCUAUGGGUUGUAAACUGCUUUUAUAAGGGAAUAAAGUGAGUCUCGUGAGACUUUUUGCAUGUACCUUAUGAAUAAGGACCGGCUAACUCCGUGCCAGCCGCCGCCGUAA